GAGCCAGUGCGCGGUCUGCAAUCAUGUCUUCAUAGUCAAGUGAGCUAACGCCACAACCAGAUGACCCCAUUCUGACAUCGGAUAAACUCACGGUUACACUUACAUACAACAACAAAUGUCAUCGUUUUAUCCGUAUGCUGCAGUGCUGCUAUCUUGUGGAGUCACAGCUCAAGUGGCAGUGGAGACCGAUCCGCCGCCGCCUCAUGUUGCUGUCCUGGCGGUGGUGACGUUUUCGCAGCCGCUUCUCGUCCGUGCCCAGGAGUACCGGUGGCGACCGCUCCACACUCCUGCGUCGUUGGCGACCGGUCCGCGGUCUCCCCCCCCGUUCCUGCUCCAGCGGCGACGGGCACGCCCAUACGUUCCCGUCCAGGAGGUGGUGAUGGUGCCGCCGCCGUCUCAUGUUGCUGUCCAGGAGGAGGUGGCGAUGGUUGCGCUGGUGCCGCCUUCUCACAUUCCCGUCCAGGAGGAGGUGAAGGAGGUGGUGAUGUCGCCGCCGCCUCACGUUCCCGUCCAGGAGGUGGCGAUGGCGCCGCUGCCUUCUCACGUUCCCAUCCAGGAGGUGGCGAUGAGGCUGCCGCCUUUUCAUGUUGCUGUCCAGGAGGAGGUGGCGAUGGUGGCGAUGGUGGCGCUGCCGCCGCCUUCUCACGUUGCUGUCCAGGAGGAGGUGACACUGACGCUGCCUUCUCACGUUCCCGUCCAGGAGGAGGUGGUGAUGCCACUACUGCCGCCAUCUCACUAUCCUGUCCAGGAGGUGGCAACAGUUACCCAGCCGUCUCAUGUUCCUGUCCAGGAGUACCAGCGGCGACCGAUCCGCGGCCGUCCCACGCCCCUGUCUCGAUGGUGACAGGAGCUGGGGAGUUCUGGUGAGCCACCCCGGAGCUGGAGAGACUUGGGGAGGGCUGUGAUGGUGGCGGUCAUGGCUCUGGUCUUUCUCUCCAUCAUCCUCUUCGCUCCUGAUGGCUCCCAGCCGCUUCAUGACCUGGCCUUGUUGGUGACCAAUCCAUGGCUGCCUCCUGACCAAGCCUCGGUGGCAACCAAUCCCUGGUUGUCUCGCAACCAUGGCGUGGGAGGUUCUCGUCCGGAGCAGUUGCCUGUCUCGGUGAGACGGACUGCACAUGCUUGUUGUGUGCUAAGAGCCAAUAAAGCGACCAUCACAGUGAAUCGAUGUUCCAUGUUAUAACUACUCCUCCCAUUGAGCUUCGGAGGUGUGACACGAGAAGGGAGUUAACCCUGAAGAGAACAACCUCGGCCCAAGACAUCUCCUUGUGUCUCCCGACCACGGUUAGGCGACCGGAGCAGGAACAAUUAAUAGUGUGUAUAUAUGUGCGGAAUUUAUUGAUAACAUUUACAAGAUUGUUCAUCCUCUUGUACAAAAAGUGUCAAAAAAUUGCUUGUAAUUUGUGGAGUAGAUCAAUUGAAAUUCCUGCUACACCAAGAUGAGAGGUGGGCAUGACAGUUGACAUAUUCGGCAUGGGGAAUAUUAUUCAGGUCUGUACCUACUUUUUCAGAUGUAUGUGUCAAUUUAUAUUCUAAACCUUCCUCAGCAUGCUGCAAAUGUUUACAUUAUAUUCAUGUCUCCUGGGAUCCGAAAUAUCCCAAGUAUUUAGAUUCAUCACAUCGUUUUCCAUAAUGUAUGUUUAACUGCACUAAUCACCAGUUUCGUGGCUGUGAGAAAAACAUUCCACAGAUAAGGUGGAAAGAUUUAC